GUAAAGCACUUUCAGUGGGGAGGAGGUCGUAUAGGUUAAGAGCUAGUAUGAUGGACGUUACCCACAGAAGAAGCACCGGCUAACUCCGUGCCAGCAGCCGCGGUAAUACGGAGGGUGCGAGCGUUAAUCGGAAUUACUGGGCGUAAAGGGUGCGUAGGUGGUUAAUUAAGUUAGAUGUAAAAACCCUGGGCUUAACCUGGGACUGAGAUUUAAUACUGAUUAACUGGAGUAUUGGAGAGGGUAGUGGAAUUUCCGGUGUAGCGGUGAAAUGCGUAGAGAUCGGAAGGAACACCAGUGGCGAAGGCGGCUACCUGGCCAGAUACUGACACUGAAGCACGAAAGCGUGGGGAGCAAACAGGAUUAGAUACCCUGGUAGUCCACGCUGUAAACGAUGUCAACUAGCCGUUGGUCAUAUUAAGAUGAUAAGUGGCGCANCAAACGCGAUAAGUUGACC
rnacentral:rRNA from 1 species